rnacentral:lncRNA from 14 species
CACCCAGCAGGUAGGGAGCCCCAGGGAGCCCCAGGGAGCCCCAGGGAGACGGGGCCGAACGUCCUCCUGAGCCCGGGAGCUGCUGACGGGCAGGCGGGAGGUGCAGCAGAGAGCAAGCAGAGCAUCCCCGUGCCGUGCCCCGCAGGCUGCCCGGGCACGGCGAGGGUGCACUGGCCAGUGGCCGUGGGCUGCGGGCGGCCAGCCCUCUGCACAGCCAGCUCUGGGAGCAGGCGGCAGCUGCCUGGGCGGCUGAGCCUUGCCCUGCAGCUGGCAAGGGAGCCCAGCUGCCCGAGCUCAGACAGCUGGGACCUGGGCUCAAGGGACACUGGCACGCAGCCACUCUCCUCUGCUUCUCUUGCAGAUGGGCAGCCUGCGGCACCAAGUGGUGCUGCCCCCCAUCCCUGAGGCGAGGCAGGAGCAGAUACUACAUCUACCACUGGUGGUGAAUUUUGCACCCCGGCCACCACCUCUCUCAGCGAAGCCAGCCGUCCGCUCGUGCAGGCUGCCGCCUCUGACACCGCCAGGCUCUGCAGCUUGUGGCAGGACCACGGUUACGAACAUCAGCAGCGCAAGCACCAGCCCACGGCAGCUUCGCAGCGCUGCUGCUCAGCACAGGGCACGUCUCCCUCCUCUGUCACCGGCACCAGACUCCUCUGACCUUCACAAGUGGAAGGCACCCACACAUGCACCUGCCCUGCACAGCACCAAACCAGGCACGCUUACGCAGGUGACAGCCGUGCGGAAAGAGAAGAAGCCUCUGGGCCAAUCUGUCAAGUUGGCCCAGAACACCAGCCCGCAGCAAGUGAAACGUGACAGAUCACCCAAAAGCUGUCGUAUGGCAAUGUCGGCUACAAGACCUGACUCUCAUCUGGCUGCAGUAGCUCAGGGAAAGCACAGCAGACCCACUGUCUUCCCAAGAGCACAGCAGGGACAAAGGAAAGCUGCACUGACGAAGAUCCGUGGGACAGGAGUUGGAACACCCCACCUUGCCCCAGGAGCAGACAAUAGAAAAGCAGCAGCUUCUCCCUUGGCUGAGUACUCCCAGCACCCAGUGACCAAGGUACACGCGGCCGGCACCAGGG